GGAAAAUCAAAAAUUAAAAUAAUUAAAAGUGUCGCUAAAGGCCCCUAUAGUGACAGAACCGUCGCUAUAGGUGUUCUUGAGCCUACCCAGAUCUUCAUAUGGCAGAACCGAGUGGCCUACUUUGACCGUGAAUAACUCUCUCAUCUUAACGAAUUUGGACAAUCUAUAAAUUGGGUCUUGUAGAGGAAAUACAAGACUACAAGAUCCAACAAUCAUAACCUCUAAACAAACAUCAGAUCUGGGAUAAAUCAGCCAUCAAAGUAGCUACCAAAGCUGUUCUUCACGAAGAACAGUUCGAGGUGCCUACUUUGGACCUCUAUAACUUGAUGAUCGUGUAACGUUUAUGUGAUCUAUCAAUUCCAGUGUGUAGACAACAUGUAGGACUACAACUCUAACACUUAACAUCAUCAUAACAACAAGAAAUCAAGCAUCUAAAGUAUGGUCAAACCUUGUCAGAAAAAUUAACACUUAGAAAAUUCUGGGCUGCCCAGAAUUUUCUGGUCAAUGCCGGUCAACCCACUUUGACCUUAAAUAACUCUUAAUCCGUAAUAUAUAUGGACCUGAUUCUUUUUGGAGGUUAAAUACCACAUAACAAGCUACACAUAUCAACCUUUAGAACACAAAACACAUUAAAGAUGACCGAGAUAUAAGGCCUGACAUUUUCCAAAAAAAAAUUUUCUGGACACUUAGAAUAUUUUCUGGGUUUGAAAAACAGCCGGUCAAUGCCGGUCAACCCACUUUGACCGCUUAUAAAUCCCGAUCUACAAUAGAUAUAGACCUGAUUCCUUUUGGAGUUUAAAGACCAC
rnacentral:lncRNA from 1 species